GACGAACGCUGGCGGCGUGCCUAAUACAUGCAAGUAGAACGCUGAAGAGAGGAGCUUACUCUUCUUGGAUGAGUUGCGAACGGGUGAGUAACGCGUAGGUAACCUGCCUUGUAGCGGGGGAUAACUAUUGGAAACGAUAGCUAAUACCGCAUAACAAUGGAUGACACAUGUCAUUUAUUUGAGAGGGGCAAUUGCUCCACUACAAGAUGGACCUGCGUUGUAUUAGCUAGUAGGUGAGGUAAUGGCUCACCUAGGCGACGAUACAUAGCCGACCUGAGAGGGUGAUCGGCCACACUGGGACUGAGACACGGCCCAGACUCCUACGGGAGGCAGCAGUAGGGAAUCUUCGGCAAUGGGGGCAACCCUGACCGAGCAACGCCGCGUGAGUGAAGAAGGUUUUCGGAUCGUAAAGCUCUGUUGUAAGUCAAGAACGGGUGUGAGAGUGGAAAGUUCACACUGUGACGGUAGCUUACCAGAAAGGGACGGCUAACUACGUG
rnacentral:rRNA from 1 species